rnacentral:lncRNA from 1 species
AUGUGCAGUGCAGACUAUGGGGAAGGGAGCGUGUGCCAGAGAGAGCUGCCUUCAGGUUCAGGUAGCCAAGGAAGUCCUGCAGGUUCACCUUGUGCAGGUAGAAAGUUAUGCAUGCCUCAUGCAUCUUCUUGGCAGUCUUAUGGGAGAGGGAGAGUUGGGACCCAGGCCCCUGCUCUGAUGGGGGCUGCACCUUCUGAAGCACCACGCCCUCUGCCAGGCCCCAGAACUACGCUUCCGUCUGCACAGUUGCGCCGUCUUCCUCCAGCACCAGGGCGAAGCGCUCGUCUGCCAGCACCAGGGCGUCUCAGACCUCGUGCGGGAGGUCCUCCAGCUUGGCCAGGUGCCCCUCCACACCACUGGUCAGCACUGCUUAUUCGGCAGGCGAGCCCUGCCUGGGGCCCCGUCCGACCGAGGGGAGCCGCCCCGCGCCGGCCUGGAGGGCGCCCCCUCUGUCUCCCGGCCCGGGCUCCAGCUCGCCCCCUCGAGGCCGGCGCCGCGGGACAGGCGCUCCAGACACGGCGUAAAGGCCGCUGGCUUGUAACUGCGAGGACUCGGACACCCUCCGCUUCGUCCCCGCGGGAGGGCAGGCUGAGGGCGGCGCGGACCGGCAGGAGCGCGGGUUCCCACCGCCGAGCGCCGCGCAGGCUCCCGCUGCGGGCCUUCUGGCCACCAGGUGGCGCCACGCGGCUGCCCGCACGCCGCUACAGGGCGCUCAGGGGCCGGAGGACCCGGGGUAACUGGCCCGGGGUAACCGGCCCCCCGGCCUCCCUCCAUCGGUUCGAGCACACCAGCUGCGUGCCCGGGGCCAACGCGGACAGGCAGCUUCAGGAGGAUUGCUAAGAAAUCUU